UACCAGCUCCUCGAGUGGUCGGGGCGAUUAUUGGGCCUAAAGCAUCCGUAGCCGGUUCUGUAGGUCCUCUGUUAAAUCCAACGGCUCAACCGUUGGCCCGCAGAGGAUACCGCAGGACUAGGAGGCGGGAGAGGCGGACGGUACUCUACGUGUAGGGGUAAAAUCCUUUGAUCCGUAGAAGACCACCAGUGGCGAAGGCGGUCCGCCCAGAACGCGCUCGACGGUGAGGGAUGAAAGCUGGGGGGAGCGAACCGG
rnacentral:rRNA from 1 species